rnacentral:rRNA from 1 species
GCUUACGGCCACACCACCCUGAGCGCGCCCGAUCUCGUCUGAUCUCGGAAGCUAAGCAGGGUCGGGCCUGGUUAGUACUUGGAUGGGAGACCGCCUGGGAAUACCAGGGCCGUAAGCU